rnacentral:snRNA from 1 species
GUGCUUGCUUUGACAGCACAUAUACUAAAAUUGGAAUGAUACAGAGAAGACUAGCAUGGCCCCUGCACAAGGAUGUCACCCAAAUUCGUGAAACAUUCCAUAUUUUU